rnacentral:lncRNA from 1 species
CAAGAGGUCCUCACCGGACGAGUGCUUGCUUCUACAUACCUGCAUACUCUUUUGGCUUUUGCGGAAGACGACUUAUAGCAAACGGAGCUCGUUCGUUGCACGAAGUUACACGAAAGGACGAAAAUCAGGCUUCCACGCGUGUAUAUUAUAGAAAGAAGAAGUUGUAAAAUGGAUUCAUCGAAGUGGAAUAAACAAAAA